AACUUUGGUUUGAUUCAUCUACUCAUCUACCACCAUCUUGGUUCACUGAAGAAGACCUCUCAGUCUAUGCCUCCCUGUAUGAAAAAUCAAGAUUUUGUUAUGCUUUGCAGAUUCCAUAUAGGUGGACUGAGGCAAUUUGGGGUUUUUCGCCAAGGAUGGUGGUUUGGGUUAAUGGCCGACGGUGGUGGUGAUUUAUGGCUGAUUUGGUUUUAGUUUUUUUUAGGUUUUUUUUGUUCUAAACAUGUUUUGAUUUAUUUUGGAUUUGUAUUGCCUCUGAUUUUUUUUUUUGGAUUAAAAUUAAUGUUAACUUCCUCUUAUCUGAGGUUAAGGGGAAAGAUCUCGCCGAGCUAUUUGCAUCCGGAAGGGAGAAGCUAGCAUCAGUCCCAUCCGGCGGUAAUGGUGCAGUUGCUUACUCUGCACCCACAGGUGGAGUCGCUGCUGCUGCAGAGUCAAAGAAGGAAGAAAAGGUUGGAGAGAAAGAAGAAUCAGAUGAUGAUAUGGGUUUCAAUCUUUUCGACUAAAAGCUUUGAUACGGAGAUUUUGAGGUUUUUGCUAUUUGAAUGUUGUUUUUAUGUUCUAUUUUUAUUUAGAUAUUUAGAGAAGGAAGCAAAAUUUGAGACUGUAUUUUAUAUUUAUUUAGAUAUUUAGAGAAGGAAGAAAAAUUUGAGACACUUUUACUGUAUAAA